CCUACGGGAGGCAGCAGUGAGGAAUAUUGCGCAAUGGGCGAAAGCCUGACGCAGCGACGCCGCGUGGAGGAUGACGGUUUUCGGAUUGUAAACUCCUGUUAAGUGGGAAGAAAGCUCUAUCUCUAACAUAGAUAGAGGAUGACGGUACCACUAGAGAAAGCACCGGCUAACUUCGUGCCAGCAGCCGCGGUAAUACGAGGGGUGCAAACGUUAUUCGGAUUUACUGGGCGUAAAGGGUGUGCAGACGGCGUGCUAAGUUCGUUGUUUAAUCUUCCGGCCUAACCGGAAGCUCGCGAUGAAAACUAGCAAGCUAGAGGAUGGAAGAGAGAAGCGGAAUUCUCGGAGUAGCGGUAAAAUGCGUAGAUCUCGAGAGGAACACCGAUGGCGAAGGCAGCUUCUUGGUCCACUCCUGACGUUGAGACACGAAAGCGUGGGUAGCAAACAGGAUUAGAUACCCUGGUAGUCCACGCCGUAAACGAUGAUCACUGGAUGUCGGUAUCGCUUUGCGAUAUCGGUAUCGAAGCUAACGCGUUAAGUGAUCCGCCUGGGAAGUACGGUCGCAAGAUUAAAACUCAAAGGAAUUGACGGGG
rnacentral:rRNA from 1 species